rnacentral:rRNA from 1 species
UACGUAGGGGGCUAGCGUUAAUCGGAAUUACUGGGCGUAAAGCGUGCGCAGGCGGUUAUGCAAGACAGAUGUGAAAUCCCCGGGCUCAACCUGGGAACUGCAUUUGUGACUGCAUAGCUGGAGUGCGGCAGAGGGGGAUGGAAUUCCGCGUGUAGCAGUGAAAUGCGUAGAUAUGCGGAGGAACACCGAUGGCGAAGGCAAUCCCCUGGGCCUGCACUGACGCUCAUGCACGAAAGCGUGGGGAGCAAACAGG